UGGGGAAUAUUGCACAAUGGGCGCAAGCCUGAUGCAGCCAUGCCGCGUGUAUGAAGAAGGCCUUCGGGUUGUAAAGUACUUUCAGCGGGGAGGAAGGGAGUAAAGUUAAUACCUUUGCUCAUUGACGUUACCCGCAGAAGAAGCACCGGCUAACUCCGUGCCAGCAGCCGCGGUAAUACGGAGGGUGCAAGCGUUAAUCGGAAUUACUGGGCGUAAAGCGCACGCAGGCGGUUUGUUAAGUCAGAUGUGAAAUCCUCGGGCUCAACCUGGGAACUGCAUCUGAUACUGGCAAGCUUGAGUAUCGUAGAGGGGGGUAGAAUUCCAGGUGUAGCGGUGAAAUGCGUAGAGAUCUGGAGGAAUACCGGUGGCGAAGGCGGCCCCCUGGACGAAGACUGACGCUCAGGUGCGAAAGCGUGGGGAGCAAACAGG
rnacentral:rRNA from 1 species